rnacentral:rRNA from 1 species
CCCUUAGAUGUUCUGGGCCGCACGCGCGCUACACUGAUCAGUGCAACAAGCAUCCGUCCUUGGCCGACAGGCCCGGGCAAUCUUUGAACGCUGAUCGUGAUGGGGAUAGACUUUUGCAAUUUUUGGUCUUCAACGAGGAAUUCCUAGUAAACGCAAGUCAUCAACUUGCAUUGAUUACGUCCCUGCCCUUUGUACACACCGCCCGUCGCACCUACCGAUUGAAUGGUCCGGUGAAGCCUCCGGAUUGGCGUGCACCCUCGGGUGCUGCCGAGAAGUUGGCUAAACCUUACCAUCUAGAGGAAGGUGAAGUCGUAACA